CAGAACGUAGCUAAGUUAGAAAAGCACCUCCCUUACACCGAGGAAACAUCCGUGCAAGUCGGGUCGUCCUGA
rnacentral:tRNA from 2 species